rnacentral:tRNA from 1 species
AGCUCUGUAGUGAUUNAACACAUUAAAUUGCAAAUUUAAAAAAGUUCCUUUUUUGGUUCCGGGGCUU